rnacentral:rRNA from 1 species
AACGAACGCUGGCGGCAGGCUUAACACAUGCAAGUCGAACGCAUCGCAAGAUGAGUGGCAGACGGGUGAGUAACGCGUGGGAAUCUACCGAGCCCUGCGGAAUAGCUCCGGGAAACUGGAAUUAAUACCGCAUACGCCCUUUGGGGGAAAGAUUUAUCGGGGUUUGAUGAGCCCGCGUUGGAUUAGCUAGUUGGUGGGGUAAAGGCCUACCAUGGCGACGAUCCAUAGCUGGUCUGAGAGGAUGAUCAGCCACAUUGGGACUGAGACACGGCCCAAACUCCUACGGGAGGCAGCAGUGGGGAAUAUUGGACAAUGGGCGCAAGCCUGAUCCAGCCAUGCCGCGUGAGUGAUGAAGGUCUUAGGAUUGUAAAGCUCUUUCACCGAUGAAGAUAAUGACGGUAGUCGGAGAAGAAGCCCCGGCUAACUUCGUGCCAGCAGCCGCAGUAAAAC